rnacentral:rRNA from 1 species
UCUGGGACAAGCCCUGGAAACGGGGUCUAAUACCGGAUAACACUCCUGCCUGCAUGGGCGGGGGUUAAAAGCUCCGGCGGUGAAGGAUGAGCCCGCGGCCUAUCAGCUUGUUGGUGGGGUAAUGGCCCACCAAGGCGACGACGGGUAGCCGGCCUGAGAGGGCGACCGGCCACACUGGGACUGAGACACGGCCCAGACUCCUACGGGAGGCAGCAGUGGGGAAUAUUGCACAAUGGGCGAAAGCCUGAUGCAGCGACGCCGCGUGAGGGAUGACGGCCUUCGGGUUGUAAACCUCUUUCAGCAGGGAAGAAGCGAAAGUGACGGUACCUGCAGAAGAAGCGCCGGCUAACUACGUGCCAGCAGCCGCGGUAAUACGUAGGGCGCAAGCGUUGUCCGGAAUUAUUGGGCGUAAAGAGCUCGUAGGCGGCUUGUCACGUCGGAUGUGAAAGCCCGAGGCUUAACCUCGGGUCUGCAUUCGAUACGGGCUAGCUAGAGUGUGGUAGGGGAGAUCGGAAUUCCUGGUGUAGCGGUGAAAUGCGCAGAUAUCAGGAGGAACACCGGUGGCGAAGGCGGAUCUCUGGGCCAUUACUGACGCUGAGGAGCGAAAGCGUGGGGAGCGAACAGGAUUAGAUACCCUGGUAGUCCACGCCGUAAACGUUGGGAACUAGGUGUUGGCGACAUUCCACGUCGUCGGUGCCGCAGCUAACGCAUUAAGUUCCCCGCCUGG